CAGCAGACUAGCUAACCAGGCUACUCGGCAGGUUGUUUGACGUGAAAGCCGUUCUGACACACGAUGCCGGAUUCCUCGUCAUGUUUUGGCCUAAAAACGACUUGAUACGAAGUGUGGACCGAAGCUAACGGAGGGCGACAAGGUGACGCCAGCUCGUCCUCGCUGUGCUAACUUUACAAAGUGUCAGUGAAAACAACAUUCUCCCUUCAAGAAACACUCUGUAAAAGUUUACCGGCAAAGUAAAAGGCUUCUUCUUUAAGUUAAGGGUUGGGCGCAGCCAAGAUGGCGCUGUGCUGCUUCUUCACCUGCUCCACAUCCUCGGACAACUUCUCGAUGCAGCCGCGUAUCUCCUCCACCUACACGUAUACACACACACAAAGACAGACACACGCUUCCUGUCACAACACGGAUGACACAUGGCAUCGCCUCAAACAGGAUGUUGGUGAUUACGCCUCACCGGCAUUUUGGCAGGCCAACUUCAACUGGGAGUGACGAAUAAACAGCUUGAAGCAUGCCCACAACGGUACAAGUGAGGGUCUUCAUUCCCUUUCAUCAGUCACGUUACAAGACAGCAAAAACGCAACAACAGGUAAGAAGGCUGAGUAAUGAUAAAGGCUGCCGUCACCAGCCACUGAUGGACGUGGAGUAAGUCCUCCUCACCAGUAGUUGGCGCUACACUAUAUUUGUCACGUAUCUCUGCCCACAAUGAGUUGUCAUUGUGCUCAUUAAUAAUAAUAAUAAUAAUAAUAAUCUAUGUGAUUUGUAUAGCAUUUUUCUGGACACUCAAAGACACAAAAUGCAUUAUUUAUGCAUUCACAAUGUGGUGGUAAAGGACGUUGUGUAGCGACAGCUGCCCUGGGGCAGGCUGACAGAGGCGUGGCUGCCAGUAGGCACAUCACGGCCUCUCCUUCGGACCACCACCAAACAUCUACAUCAGUCGGGAGUCGCAUCGGAAGCAAAAACAGCCGCCACGACCUGCCACUUCAGCUCACACAACCCUCUGGUGUAUUGCAACAGCAUCAAUGCAAAAGACAGACAGCUCCAGGGACAAAAAUGGACCGUUUGGAAAAGAAGGCAAAAAAGAAAUCAAGUCUCAACGUGCUUCUGUGUUACCGCUCAUGGCAAAGAGGAGAGAAAUGUAAUUUUCAUCUUGAGAAAAUGUCUUGUGAAUCAUCAGAAUUUAUUUGGGACACAAAAGAUAUUUUGGCAGUCAAAGUGUGAAAAGAGAUCAGGUGAGAAUUUCUUUUUUUUUUUUAAGAUGUUCUGACCGUGGGGAAUGCCAGCACGUGUCAAUCCUUCAAAUACUGUGCAAUCGCUUUUCGGAAUCAAAUCAUGAAAAUGACAUUUGUAGUUAACAUUUACAUAUAUACUUAACAUUUUGAUUUCAAACGUGGCCGUUAGAUUUAUUAUUUGUAUUUACGAUUGAAGUUGGUCAUAAAUGAAAAAACAACCAAAAUUCACAGCGGUUUUUGAAGCAUUGUUGGAAAAUAAAUGUUUGAACAUGCUGAUCAGAAGCCCCUCACAAAACAGCGACUCACAACUGUCAACAACAUUGCGCCAAUUCAAAUUUUGGCU